rnacentral:tRNA from 1 species
CGGGGCGUAGCGCAGUCUGGUUAGCGCACUUGACUGGGGGUCAAGGAGUCGUCAGUUCGAAUCUGACCGCCCCGACCG